UUUUUGUGUCAGCAUUCUGUUUGUCUAAUUUUUUUUAUUGAUAUUUUGCAAUGAAUCAUUAACCAUCUCUAGUGGAAGUUUGCAUUCAAAGAUAGAACUAGGAGAAAAUAAAAUAAUAAAAGCUGCACAGUGGGUUAAUUGAGAUUUUACCAAAAUAGUGUUUGCACAUGUAGUAGACAUUUCUAUUAACAUAGUAAGAGUGAUGUAAUUGUUAAUCAUAACAAGAAGAUAUUGUGAUAUAUAGACAUAAAUUUAAUAAAAUUAAGAGCAUAUAAAAUGACAAAUGUGACAUGCUAUAAAAUACCUUAAUAUUUUCUUCUAAAUUUUAGUGUGUACAAGGCCUCUUUUCUUUCCUACUCCCCAAAGAAGCAUAUAUUGGCUUUAUCUGGCUUCUGACAGUUAGCUUAAAAUGUUCAGUGGUGCAGUGGUGGCGUUCUUUGUGUAUAGGAUCGUUAGAGAUGGAGGACACACAAAGACAGGAUCAAUUUUGGAAGUCAGGCCAGAAAAAUAAUCCUCAUAUAAAGGGGCUCCUUUCAUUGUCUGAUGUGCUCCAGGUGAAGAGUCUGUCGGUAUGCACUAUGCGGUGGAUUUGUCAAGAGUUGAUACUUCAAAGAGUCCAGAACUGUGGAAUAUGUUAGAAGUAGAUUUGUCAAGUGCCUUUUUACAAUGUGAAUUAUCCUUUAUUAUUUAAAAGGGCAUAGAAUGGUAGGAAAUAAAUUUGGAUGGCAUAUUGACAAUCUUGUGAAAGGUCAUCUGUGUUUUAGUGGUCUAUGGUACUAUUUUUCAGUUUUCAUUCAGUUGCCUCUAUGAAUCUACUUUGUAUCCUUUCUACUA